rnacentral:rRNA from 1 species
GUGCAGUGGCGGCUCUUACCAUGCAGUCGAGCGGUAAGGCCUCUUCGGGGGUACACGAGCGGCGAACGGGUGAGUAACACGUGAGUAAUCUGCCCCCCUCUCUGGGAUAAGCCUGGGAAACUGGGUCUAAUACCGGAUAUGACCAGCUGUCGCAUGGUGGUUGGUGGAAAAUUUUUUUCGGGGGGGAAUUUGCUCCCGGCCUAUCACCUUGUUGGUAAGGUACCGGCUCACCAGGGCUCCAACGGGUACCCGGCCUGAAAGGGUGACCGGCCCCCCGGGAACGGAAACCCGGCCCAAACCCCUACGGAAGGCACCAUUGGGAAAUUUUGAACAUGGGGCGAAACCCUGAUCCACCACCCCCCCGGGAGGAAUAACGGCCUUCGGGUUGUAACCCUCUUUCACCACCAACAAACCGAAAUUAACGGUGGGUGCAAAAAAAGGACCGGCCACCUACUUGCCACCACCCCCGGUAUUACUUAGGGCCCAACCGUUGUCCGGAUUUAUGGGGCGUAAAGGGUUCGAAGGCGGUUUGCCCCGCCGGGAUUGAAAACCAGGUGCUUACCACCGGGCCGGCUUUCAAUCCGGCCAAACAAAAGGCUUUCAGGGAAAAACGAAUUUCCGGGGGUACCGUUAAAUUGCCCAAAUUUCAGGAGGACCACCGGUGGCAAAGGCGGUCCUCUGGAAUUGUCCUGACCCUAAGAACCAAAAUUGUGGGAACCAAACAGGAUUAAAUACCCUGGUAUUCCACACCGUAAACGUUGGGCGCUAGGUGUGGAAUCCAUUCCACGGGUUCCGUGCCGCACCUAACGCAUUAACCGCCCCCCCGGGGAAUACGGCCGCAAGGCUAAAACUCAAAGGAAUUGACGGGGGCCCGCACAAGCGGCGGAGCAUGCGGAUUAAUUCGAUGCAACGCGAAGAACCUUACCUGGGUUUGACAUACACCGGGAGCAUCCAAAAAUGGGUGUGCCUUUUGGCUGGUGUACAGGUGGUGCAUGGCUGUCGUCAGCUCUGUCGUGAAAUGUUGGGUUAAGUCCCGCACGAAGGCAACCCUCGUCCUAUGUUGCCACCAAUUCGGUUGGGGACCCCUAAGGAAAAUGCCGGGGUCAAUCCGAAGAAAGGUGGGGGAGAACUCCAAGUCUUCUUGGCCCCU